CAUAUACUCCCUCCGUCCUAAAUUACUUGUCUUAGAUUUUUCUAGAUAUGGAUGUAUCUAAAAAUGUUUUAGUGUUAGAUACAUCCGUAUCUAGAUAAAUCUAAGACAAGUAAUUUGGGACGGAGGGAGUACUAG
rnacentral:pre_miRNA from 1 species